rnacentral:rRNA from 1 species
UACGUAGGGUGCGAGCGUUGUCCGGAAUUACUGGGCGUAAAGGGCUCGUAGGCGGCCAACUAAGUCGGAUGUGAAAUCCCCAGGCUUAACCUGGGAACUGCAUCCGAUACUGGAUGGCUUGAAUCCGGGAGAGGGAUGCAGAAUUCCAGGUGUAGCGGUGAAAUGCGUAGAUAUUUGGAGGAACACCGGUGGCGAAGGCGGCAUCCUGGACCGGUAUUGACGCUGAGGCGCGAAAGCUAGGGGAGCAAACGGG